rnacentral:sRNA from 1 species
UGCUGAAGUCCAUCGGCGACGGUAACC